UUAUGAGCUAAUAAAUAAUUAUUAUUCAUACUUCAUUAUUGUCUUGUCUAGCAGUUAGGAAAGGAAUGAAUCAUACACUAUUAUACAACUUGCAAUUUAUUUUCAUUACUCCAUAAUGAUGAAACCGUAACCCCUGUGUCCCUAUCUUCUUGAAUAAAUUGAAAGACACUUAUUGUCAUGGAGGAUAACCAAGCUAUUAAACAAAAUUUCUAUCUCAUAAAUUUGAUUAUAUAUGCCAAACAAACAAAUAACAGAGAUGAAGCCUACCUUAUCAUUUCAAGUGACCACAAAGCUUUGUUAUAAAUUUUAUUCUCCCCCAAUCUAAUUUGUUAGCAUCUCAACAAAUAGUUCAUCGUUUUCAACCUUGGAUCGUCGAACCAAACUUUGGAACGAGAGAUAACGUGUGUAAACUAUAGUUGCGAAUUUAGCCUUGUAUUGUGCUUGGAAGGAAAGCAUCUAAGGUACUCAAGGAGAUGAUCAUGAUUGGUGCUUUUGCUUGAUGCGUGCGUGGGGAUAAACAAUUUGGGGGUUUUUAUUAACUUGUAAUUUAAAUGAAACAUUGUAUCAUUGUAUAAGUAUUACUUGUAAUCGCAGAUAAUUAUUCUUUUUU